UAGGUGAUUCCUUGAUUAAAUUGAGGCAUAAUUUUAAUAUAAAAUUAUUUUAAUAUUUAUCUUUCGCUGCUUACUCUCAUGUGAUGAAAAAUUUGUAUACAAAUCACCUGAUUUUCCUUCAGAAAUAUGUUACCUUGAUAGCUGGUAACCAUCAUGGAGAAUCAUGGUCGACGAUGUCAUCAUGGAUGAUAGGUGAUUAGUGGCAUUAACUCGUAUGCCACAUUUCACUAUAACCAUCAGGAGUUCUGUGAUGGUUAUGGACUGGCCUAUCAUGAAUUGCCACAUAUCAGGCAUUGAUUGGCCCGAUGACGCUUCUCACAGAUUGGUCUAUGUGGCUGAAUCAGGAGGGGGUGAGACAAAGAGUCACUUGAUCAAAUAGCUGUGAUCUAAUGGCUGUGAUCUAUGCCAUGUGGCUGAAUCUGCUGGCCUGAGGCUCCGAUCUAGACCAUUGGGCCAUAGUAUAAAUAGGCAUGUCCUCCUUCCUUUGUUAUAAUUUUGGCUGUUAGCUUCUUCCAUUGCGCCAGCACUUGAUUUGUUGGAGGGAUUUUCUAUCACUGCCUGUGCCAUCAUUUUCUUCGGCUUCGACAAGUGUUUUUUUGUUCAAGCCCCUUUUCUUAUUGGUCCAUUUUGCUUUCUUCCAAUUUUCUCAUUGUUUUCUUCUUCAUUUGAUCUCUCUA
rnacentral:lncRNA from 1 species